rnacentral:rRNA from 1 species
CGGACGGGUGAGUAACGCGUGAGUGACCUGCCCCGAAGUGGGGGAUAACUGCCCGAAAGGGUGGCUAAUACCGCAUGUGGCGACGCUUUCAUUGGCGUCAUCAAAGCCGCGAGGCGCUUCGGGAGGGGCCUGCGUCCGAUUAGCUCGUUGGUGGGGUAACGGCUCACCAAGGCGACGAUCGGUAGGUGGUCUGAGAGGACGAUCACCCAGACUGGGACUGAGACACGGCCCAGACUCCUACGGGAGGCAGCAGUCGGGAAUUUUGCUCAAUGGGGGAAACCCUGAAGCAGCAACGCCGCGUGCGGGAUGAAGGCCUUCGGGUUGUAAACCGCUUUUACCAGGGACGAUAAUGACGGUACCUGAUGAAUAAGUCACGGCUAACUACGUGCCAGCAGCCGCGGUAAUACGUAGGUGACUAGCGUUGUCCGGAUUUACUGGGCGUAAAGAGCGCGCAGGUGGUCGUUCAAGUCGAGUGUGAAAGCCCCCGGCUCAACUGGGGAGGGUCCUUCGAUACUGAUCGACUUGAAGGCAGGAGAGGGAAGCGGAAUUCCCGGUGUAGUGGUGAAAUGCGUAGAUAUCGGGAGGAACACCAGUGGCGAAGGCGGCUUCCUGGCCUGUUCUUGACGCUGAGGCGCGAAAGCUAGGGGAGCAAAAGGGAUUAGAUACCCCUGUAGUC